UCUAUUUUUAUUAAAUUCUUAUCCAUAUUUAAAAGAUUCACCCAUAUUAAUUAAAAACUCACCCAAAUAAAAUAAUGCCCACUCCAAAUUAGAACCCAAAAUCCUCAAAAUACUUCUCCAUCUUCUCCGUUUCUCAUCAUCCGAAUUUUGGUCGAGUUUGGCUGAUUUCUGGCCAAGUUCUUCGAUUUUCAAGCUGUAGUUCAUGGAAAAUGUUCCUGCAAAUCCAAAACGAACUCAGUCCUCCACAUGAUUAAUUAAUUAAAUUUGAACUGAUGCAUUUUGAUGGACGACACAAAUAGAAAAGUCACAUCAAGAUUACCAUUUCCAUCAGGGCUAUUAAAUGGAAGCAGCCAUCUCUAAAUGACACUAUUACGGUAUUACUUAGACACGGUAAAUUAGGACCAAUCACAUCAUGAAAUUUGCAAUUGCUAACAAAAAUCCAAUGGGUCUGUUUAUAAUUGAAUUGAGGAUCAAAAUGGGUUGAUCAUUGAUGAACGAGGAUACACCAAAAAUUCGAAUUACAGGUCGUAGAAGAAGAGGAAAAAACAGAGGACAAAGUGCAGAUACUAGUAAGUGUUUUGAGGGUUUUGGGUUAUAACUUGGGUAUGGAUAUUAUGUUGUUUGG
rnacentral:lncRNA from 1 species